CACGAAGGGGGCUAGCGUUGCUCGGAAUCACUGGGCGUAAAGGGUGCGUAGGCGGGUCUUUAAGUCAGGGGUGAAAUCCUGGAGCUCAACUCCAGAACUGCCUUUGAUACUGGCGAUCUUGAGUCCGGGAGAGGUGAGUGGAACUGCGAGUGUAGAGGUGAAAUUCGUAGAUAUUCGCAAGAACACCAGUGGCGAAGGCGGCUCACUGGCCCGGUACUGACGCUGAGGUGCGAAAGCGUGGGGAGCAAACAGG
rnacentral:rRNA from 1 species